rfam:Camelus ferus unplaced genomic scaffold scaffold4962, whole genome shotgun sequence.
GAGGGUAUAGCCCAGUGGUAGAGUGCCUGCUUAGCAUGCAUGAGGUCCUGGGCUCAAUCCUCAGUACCUCCA